rnacentral:rRNA from 1 species
GCGAGUGGCGAACGGGUGAGUAACGCGCGAGGAACCUGCCUCAAAGAGGGGGACAACAGUUGGAAACGACUGCUAAUACCGCAUAAGCCCACGGCUCGGCAUCGAGCAGAGGGAAAAGGAGCAAUCCGCUUUGAGAUGGCCUCGCGUCCGAUUAGCUAGUUGGUGAGGUAACGGCCCACCAAGGCAACGAUCGGUAGCCGGACUGAGAGGUUGAACGGCCACAUUGGGACUGAGACACGGCCCAGACUCCUACGGGAGGCAGCAGUGGGGAAUAUUGCACAAUGGGGGAAACCCUGAUGCAGCGACGCCGCGUGGAGGAAGAAGGUCUUCGGAUUGUAAACUCCUGUUGUUGGGGAAGAUAAUGACGGUACCCAACAAGGAAGUGACGGCUAACUACAUGCCAGCAGCCGCGGUAAAACGUAGGUCACAAGCGUUGUCCGGAAUUACUGGGUGUAAAGGGAGCGCAGGCGGGAAGAUAAGUUGGAAGUGAAAUCUAUGGGCUCAACCCAUAAACUGCUUUCAAAACUGUUUUUCUUGAGUAGUGCAGAGGUAGGCGGAAUUCCCGGUGUAGCGGUGGAAUGCGUAGAUAUCGGGAGGAACACCAGUGGCGAAGGCGGCCUACUGGGCACCAACUGACGCUGAGGCUCGAAAGUGUGGGUAGCAAACAGGAUUAGAUACCCUGGUAGUCCACACCGUAAACGAUGAUUACUAGGUGUUGGAGGAUUGACCCCUUCAGUGCCGCAGUUAACACAAUAAGUAAUCCACCUGGGGAGUA